rnacentral:tRNA from 1 species
UGGGGACGUGGCCAAAAGUGGUAAGGCGGCGGGCUUUGGUCCCGCUAUUUGAAGGUUCGAAUCCUUCCGUCCCA